CAGUAGCCGCGGUAACACGGAGGAUCCGAGCGUUAUCCGGAAUUAUUGGGUUUAAAGGGUGCGUAGGCGGAUAGAUAAGUCAGUGGUGAAAGACGGUGGCUCAACCAUCGCAGUGCCGUUGAUACUGUUUAUCUUGAAUAUGGAUGAGGUAGGCGGAAUGUGGCAAGUAGCGGUGAAAUGCAUAGAUAUGCCACAGAACACCGAUUGCGAAGGCAGCUUACCAAGGCAAAAUUGACGCUGAGGCACGAAAGCGUGGGGAUCGAACAGGAUUAGAUACCCCGGUAGUCCCUGUCUCUUAUAC
rnacentral:rRNA from 1 species